AUUGAACGCUAGCGGCAAGCCUAACACAUGCAAGUCGAACGAGUGGCGGACGGGUGAGUAAUGUCUGGGAAACUGCCUGAUGGCGGGGGAUAACUACUGGAAACGGUAGCUAAUACCGCAUCCCAUCGGAUGUGCCCAGAGGGGAUUAGCUAGUAGGUGGGGUAAAGGCUCACCUAGGCGACGAUCCCUAUCUGGUCUGAGAGGAUGACCACCCACACGGGAACGUAGACACGGUUCAGACUCCUACGGGAGGCAGCAGUGGGGAUUAUUGCACAAUGGGCGCAAGCCUGAUGCAGCCAUGCCGCGUGUAUGAAGAAGGCCUUCGGGUUGUAAAGUACUUUCAGCGGGGAGGCGUUACCCGCAGAAGAAGCACCGGCUAACUCCGUGCCAGCAGCCGCGGUAAUUC
rnacentral:rRNA from 1 species